rnacentral:lncRNA from 1 species
CUGUACCCUCCGCCAUCUUCAUCAUCUCCGUACCCACCAUCAAAAUCAGCAGCCCUUUACCCGCCACAAGCCUCGGCGUACCCCAAUCCAUCUAAUAUUUCACAUCAACAUGAUUCAGCUCCAUAUCCUCCUCAACCAUAUCCGCCACCUUCUGUAUAUCCUCCUCAACCAUAUCCAUCACCUUCUGUAUAUCCCCCUCAACCAUAUCCACCACCAGCACAAUCCUCAAGCCAAUAUCCCCCAGGUAUCUAUUUAUUCACAUCGAGCAUGCAGAGUGUAUACUCCACAAUUUCAUCAUGUUGGGUAAUAAUUUUUUAUUUUUUCAUAAU